CGGACCUGUUAUCUCUUGCUGCUCCUCCGCGUCUCUUUGCCGUUGCUGACGGGGCCGGGGGGGUGCCCAGGUUGGCUGCGGGUGAUGCGGCCGCUGGGGGGGUGCGCGGGGGCGCUGGGGGGGUGCGUGGGACCCCCCGAGCUCAGCCCGUUUCCAUUCUGGCUGUCAGGGGCUGCGGCUGUGGCCGGGGGGGGACCCGGGGUGCUCUGCGGGGCGGCCGUCGUCGCGUUCUCAUUUGGGGUCCCUUUGCUCUGCUGUGCCACGUAUUCGGGGUUGGGCUCGCUGAAGUUGGGCACCUCGGAGUACACCAUGCAGAACUCGCCAAUCUUCUGCAGGUCCCCUCCGCGCCCCG
rnacentral:lncRNA from 1 species